GGGGGAAAGAAACCAAACAGGGAUUGCCUCAGUAACGGCGAGUGAAGCGGCAAGAGCUCAAAUUUGAAAGCUGGCUCCUUCGGGGUCCGCAUUGUAAUUUGCAGAGGAUGCUUCGGGAGCGGCCCCCAUCUAAGUGCCCUGGAACGGGCCGUCAUAGAGGGUGAAAAUCCCGUCUGGGAUGGGGUGUCCGCGCCCGUGUGAAGCUCCUUCGACGAGUCGAGUUGUUUGGGAAUGCAGCUCUAAAUGGGUGGUAAAUUUCAUCUAAAGCUAAAUAUUGGCCGGAGACCGAUAGCGCACAAGUAGAGUGAUCGAAAGAUGAAAAGCACUUUGAAAAGAGAGUUAAACAGCACGUGAAAUUGUUGAAAGGGAAGCGCUUGCGACCAGACUCGCCCACGGGGUUCAGCCGGCAUUCGUGCCGGUGUACUUCCCCGCGGGCGGGCCAGCGUCGGUUUGGGCGGCCGGUCAAAGGCCCUCGGAAUGUAACGCCCCCCGGGGCGUCUUAUAGCCGAGGGUGCCAUGCGGCCAGCCCAGACCGAGGAACGCGCUUCGGCUCGGACGCUGGCAUAAUGGUCGUAAGCGACCCGUCUUGAAACACGGACCAAGGAGUCUAACAUCUACGCGAGUGUUCGGGUGUCAAACCCGUGCGCGCAGUGAAAGCGAACGGAGGUGGGAACCCCUCGGGGUGCACCAUCGACCGAUCCUGAUGUCUUCGGAUGGAUUUGAGUAUGAGCGUAGCUGUUGGGACCCGAAAGAUGGUGAACUAUGCCUGAAUAGGGUGAAGCCAGAGGAAACUCUGGUGGAGGCUCGCAGCGGUUCUGACGUGCAAAUCGAUCGUCAAAUUUGGGUAUAGGGGCGAAAGACUAAUUCGAACCCAUUCAAGAUGGUGCCU
rnacentral:rRNA from 1 species